GCAUUUAAUUGGUGCCUGGGUCUUGGAAAACGAAACAACUCUUUCCCACGUGGACUCUAUUCAUUAGAGAAGAAACAAGAUGAAACGAAGUGACCAUUUCUCUCGAGUCCUUCUUUUUGCAAUUCCACCACCACCACCACUGCUGAUCUAUAAAUGACAAACGAAGUGGAUUUCAACCCCCAAGUUAACAAUUAGGUCCUGAGCAUGCUACCAUCAAAGAAGCCAAAAAGGGCCAAGAAGUCUGUCUUAGCUGGAAACCAUAAAAAAUCUGAGGUAUGGAAUUAUUUUGUUUUAGGGUUAGCUUAAUCAUGAUUCACAAGAAAAUUAAAAUAAAGUGAUAUUCUGAAAUUAUUGUCUGAAUAUUACGAACAUAGUAACUUCCGAAAAUUCAAAAAUGCCGAAAAUUUCUUAUUGGAAUAGAGUUAUUAUAUUCCGAAUUUUCGGAAUCGGUAUUGGAAUUGAAAAUCAAUUCCGAAACAUUUCGGAUUGGAAUUCGGAACACCUGUUUCCGAUUCUGCUUUUUGUACGAUUGCCAAAACAUGAUAUAGCCAUAAGCUCUACCACUUCUUUCUAGAUGUCAUCCUGAGGUCUUCAUAAU